GACGAACGCUGGCGGCGUGCCUAACACAUGCAAGUCGAGCGGACAGACGCGGUGCUGGCUCCUCUGACGUCAACGGCGGACGGGUGAGUAACAUGUGCAUACCUUACCUUUAGGACUGCGAUAACUUCGUGAAACCGGUGCCAAUACCGGAUACUAGAUUGAUCCGCAUGGUUCGAUAGUUACAGCCGGUUUUGCUGGCCCUUAGAGUUGUAUCCGGGCCGCAUUGGCUAGUUGGUAAGGUAACUGCUUACGAAGGCAACGAUGCGUUGCCGACCGGCCAGCGUGUACGGCCACUCUGGGACUGAGCCACGGUACUGACUCCUACGGGAGGCCGCAGUAGGGAAGCGUGGCAACUGGGCGGAAGCCUGCAGGAGGAACGCCGCGUGAGUGAUGCAGGUCUUCGGAUCGUAUAACGCUGUUCUUAGGGUAGACCAAUUGUAGAAGUAGCUAUGCACGUCUUGACGGUACCUGCAGAGAAAGCAACGGCUAACUACGUG
rnacentral:rRNA from 1 species